GGUAGCUGAGGUAGGCAUGAAUGCUCUACUGGAGGAAGAGAGUGCCAAGAACUUUUGCUUGAUCCUUAAGGCUAUGAGCUGUUGCUUUAGAUGACCUUGGGAACUUGUUCAAGUGGAUCAGAUUUGCCCCUACUUAGGAUUGCUAUCAGCCAAUGUGGAUGACAGUCUCUGCCUGAGAAAUACAUCGAGGAAAAGAAUUGCAUCACCUGAGAGGUGAUAUACUUGCUCCCUUGAAGGCAGAGGGAGCAUCAGCAGAGCACAUGUGAUGUCCUCAGCUUAGUCCAGCUGAGGUGAAGCCUCAUCCCAGGCUGCCACGGGCUGAUAGGAUCCAUAGCCAGGAAAUGUUUGUCAUCUGCCCAUCUCGCUCAGGCUAUGGACCUUGUAAGUAGCCACCACCUCCUUUGUGGUUCUAUGCCCUGAGCUGUGGAUUGCUGUCUGAGCACAUCGGCUUGCUGCUGCUGUUGUUGGAGGAACUGAUUGCUCUUGCUGGGAGAGGUUAACACAUGCUGGGCAGUAGCCACCAUCCAGUACUCUUCAUCCUUUUCCUAAAUGACUGCCACAGCCAGCUGGAGGUAAAGGAGUAGGCAGUGGGGUCACCCCUCCGUGCCCCCCAGAAGACCUGCUGCUUGAGGCAGCUCCCUGCUUUGUGCACAGCCUGCUCCUCCACCGUCUUUAUGCUCUGAGAGCUGUGCCGAGUGACAGCAGAAUUAUGGAUAUGGGUCAAAUUCCAUUAAGACCACACCUUUAGCAGAACACAUUCACCCUCUGGAAUUUAAUAUUGCUCUUCGUUUAGCGAUUUCCUUCUCCCCAGUUGUUUGCUUUUGAAUUUAGGAUAAUAUAAGUCAUUAUUUGAAGUAGGCUAUUUAGAAAGCCCUGCACUGUUAUUAUUUAGUAAGCCAGAGUUACAUUAUCACUGGCUUCAAUCUAUGUUUGAUGAAAAGAUUUUUCCUAUUUAAGAGGCAGAAAAAAUAAGUAGAAGUCUUUAAUGGUUUUUGUACCUAUUCCAAGAUCAUCAACAUGCAUUAUAAUUAGAAAGUUCUUGUCUCGUUUAAAAUCUUUUUUUCUCUUAUGGGACUCGAGCAUUAAAAAUGCAAGAUUUAUGUAUAUCAUAUAAUUAUUUAUUUGUAGUACAGCAGCACUUAGAGGUAUCAUACAAUCUUGGGGCCCCAUUUAUGUGAAACUCUGUAUUAGUAAUAGCUCUAUUGAGUCAGACUAAGAAAUCCCAAGCUGAACUUGUGCUAAGUAUUAUACAAAUAUAUUGCAGUGAUCGCUGGCUGGAAGAAUUGAUAUAAUAAAUAGUUAAGAUGGACCAAUACUUAAAUCAGGAGGAAGUAUUACACAGAUAUGUCAGAUGAAGAAUUGAAGCAUAUCAUGAUCCAAGACCAGAUUUAGGUAGUUAGGAAGAAGUUAAGUUAGAAGCCUGACAUGCAGUAGGAUUGAAGCAGAGGAACUCUGCGGCCUAACUCCUCCUGGAGUGCAGAGUGGGUGUUCGGUACCAGUUUAUAUGGUUUUGAUAAUGCCAAUAAGUGAGGGUUUUGGACACCUGAAAAGUACUCCUCUGACAAUUUGUGUGCCUUGCACAUGCAGCGUUGCUCAGUAUCUUGGGAACGGAACCAAAGAGUGUUGGGGCCUUGUGCACUGCUUCCAACCAGAAAACCAGAGAUAGAAUUUUGUCGCCUGCUUUUGUUUACUGUGAAUUUUGUAGGUCUGUGGUCUGGCUGUCUAGAAAAAGAUGAUGAAUUCCUGGCUGAUCAAACCUGUACUAAACCUAGAAGGAAUCCAUGUCACCAGGCAACCUUCCAGACCAUUCUGAAAACUAAAUACUAACAAGAUUUAUUAUGCCCCUGUGCUUCAUUCUCAUUCUUGAGUACUGAGUGUAGCAUGUGACUUUCUUUGAUUAUUUGGGCUAUUUGCUCUUGCUAUUUUACAUUUUUGAGUUACGGUAAUUCUUGGAAGAGGAAAAAACCCAAAACAUUUUCUUAAGGACUGCUAUGCAAAAGGCAGUGCUUUGAACCAUUGCUAGGAAUCUGAAGGAAUUAGUAAGUAGGAGAGGUUAAUUUUCUGGCUAAAUGACAAAAUUAGAAGUAGACACUUGAGGACAAAUAGUCCCCAGAUAUCUGUUCAGGAUCUUCCCGAACAGCCAGGAACUGACCAAGAGUCAACAGACAGCUGCCUUCAGUUAAAUGCGGGGUUUGGCCUGGUGGGUUCAUGCACAUGACAGAAUGAGUUUAACUAGUCAGAUGGGAAAGGGAAAUGUUAACUGGUUUUGCUGAAAGUCUCUGGAGCUGAAUAAAAUCUGUAUCCAUG
rnacentral:lncRNA from 7 species